GCCAAGGUAGCUCAGUUGGAUAGAGCACUGCUUUCGUAAAGCAGGGGUCGCGGGUUCGACUCCCGCCCUUGGCU
rnacentral:tRNA from 1 species